AGUGAACGCUGGCGGCAGGCUUUACACAUGCAAGUCGAACGGCAGCACGGUCUUCGGCCUCUCGUCGGGGGGCGGACGGGUGGGUAAUGCAGCAGAACGUGCGCAGUUGUUUUUUAGAGGGGGGCGAAAGCCGGAUUAAUACGGCAUUCCACCUUACGAUGUACGGGGGAGAGCGGAAGGUCUUGCGCUAUUGCAGCAUCGGAUGUGGGAAUGGCUAGUUGGUUGGGUAAAGGGGUACCAAGGCGACGAGCCGUAGCUGGUGUGAGAGGACGACCAGCCACACUGGAACUGAGACACGGCCCAGACUCCUACGGGAGGCAGCAGUGGGGAAUAUUGGACAAUGGGGGCAAGCCUGAUCCAGCCAUGCCGCGUGGGGGAAGAAGGCCUUCGGGUUGUAAAGCGCUUUUGUUGGGGAAGAAAUGCUCUGGGCUAAUACCCCGGGGGGCUGACGGUACCGGAAGAAUAAGCACCGGCUAACUACGUG
rnacentral:rRNA from 1 species